CGCGGAGGGAGCUGCGCUGGUGGCCAUGGCGGCGGAGAGCGGCCCCGGCGAGCAGUGGCGCUCGGCCCUGCCGCAGCACGAGGUGCUCAGCCGCCUCCGGCAGCGAGAGGCCGCCGCUCCCGCUGCCCCCCGGCCGCCCAUCAUCCGCAACCUCCUCUUCUGCCUCGAUGGCGACCUCUUCCUCUGGGACAGCGAGCACAGCGCCCUCCACACCAUCGGCCUCCGCCGCCUCGGCGGGCCCGACCCCGCGGGGCUCAGCCGGUACCAGACCCUGAUGUGCAUAAACCCACCCUUGUUCGAGGUUUAUCAGACACUGCUAAGCCCCACGCAGCAUCAUGUGGCGCUCAUUGGUACGAAGGGGCUCAUGGUGCUGGAGCUGCCUAAACGCUGGGGAAAGAAUUCAGAGUUUGAAGGUGGGAAAUCCACGGUGAACUGUAGCACUGUCCCUAUUGCGGAAAGGUUCUUCACAAGCUCAACAUCUCUGACUUUAAAGCAUGCUGCUUGGUAUCCCUGCGAGACACUGGAGCCCCAUAUUGUGCUCUUGACUUCAGAUAACACUAUACGGUUUUACAGUCUGAAGGUACCUCACACACCCAUCAAAGUGAUUGCUCUUUCAGACACUGAGGAAGAGACUUUUACAAUCAAAAAAGGGAGAGCCUACACAGCAUCACUGGGAGAAACUGCGGUGGCGUUUGACUUUGGCCCACUGGUGCCAGUCCCAGAGAACACAUUGGGACAGCGAGGCAGUGAUGAGGUGCUGGCCUAUCCACUUUACAUUCUGUAUGAAAAUGGAGAGACAUUCCUCACCUACAUCAGCCUGCUGCAGAGCACUGGGAAUCUUGGCAAGCUGCUUGGCCCUCUGCCCAUGCACCCAGCGGCAGAAGACAACUAUGGCUAUGAUGCUUGUGCUGUCCUUUGCCUGCCCUGUGUUCCUAACAUCCUGGUGAUUGCUACUGAGUCGGGAAUGCUUUAUCACUGUGUGGUACUGGAUGGAGAAGAGGAUGAUGAUCAGUCAGAAAAGUCAUGGGACCCAAGAUCUGAUAUUAUUCCUUCCCUGUACGUGUUUGAAUGUGUUGAGCUGGAACUUGCACUGAAACUGGCAUCAGGAGAUGAAGAGGAGCCUUUAGAAUCUGACUUCUCUUGCCCAAUCAAAUUGCAUCAAGAUCCAAAAUGUCCCUCUCGCUACCAUUGCACACACGAAGCUGGUGUCCAUAGUGUGGGGCUGACAUGGAUCAACAAACUGCACAAAUUCCUUAGCUCAGAUGAAGAAGACAAAGACAGUUUACUAGAGUUGGGAGCAGAACAGAAGUGCUUUGUUGAACAUAUUCUUUGUACAAAACCGCUGCCAUGCAGGCAGCCUGCUCCCAUUCGAGGCUUUUGGAUUGUUUCUGACAUCCUGGGACCCACAAUGAUCUGCAUCACAAACACUUAUGAGUGUAUUACGAGGCCUCUCCUAAGUACAGUCCAUCCUGCAUCCCCUCCACUGCUGUGUACCAGGGAAGACAAGGAAGUUGCUGUUUCCCCUCUCCGUAUCCUGGCUACAUCACAGCAUUCAUUUGAGAGGCAUAUCCGAAGCAUCCUGCAGCGCAGUUCUGCCAAUCCCUUGGUUCUGAAGUCUGCUGAUAAAGAUGCUGCUCCUCCCCCUGAAGAAUGCCUUCAGCUUCUUAGCAGAGCCACCCAAGUGUUCAGAGAAGAAUACAUACUGAAACAGGAUCUGGCAAAGGAGGAAAUUCAGCAAAGAGUGAAGCUGCUGUGGGGACAGAAAAAGAAACAACUGGAAGAGCUUAAUUACUGUCGAGAGGAAAGGAAAAGCCUGCGGGAAAUGGCUGAGCGCUUGGCUGACAAGUAUGAGGAAGCCAAAGAGAAGCAAGAAGAUAUUAUGAGCAGGAUGAAGAAAGUACUUCGGAGUUUCCACUCUCAGCUUCCUGUUCUGUCAGACAGUGAAAAAGACAUGAGGAAAGAGCUGCAGACAAUACAUGACCAGCUGCAGCACCUGAGCAAUGCCAUCAGACAGGUUAAAAUGAAAAAGGAAUAUCAGCAGAAAAAGAUGGAGAGGGGUUCCAGCCCCCGAAAACCCAGCAUUAGCCUCAGUGCCUACCAGAGCAAGUGCAUCCAAACCGUUCUGAAAGAAGAGGGAGAACACAUAAGGGAAAUGGUCAAACAGAUCAAUGACAUCAGAAGCCAUGUGAACUUCUGACGUGCCCUCGCUAAGGAAGCUGCACCAAAAGACUGGAUGAGCUUUAAUGUUCCCUGUCUGCAGGAACAGAAUCCAGCUUUCUAGUCCAGUCCUCCUGUGUAUCGUGGCUGACGUGCCUGGUCAGCAGUGCCUCUUACUAACCGCGGAGAAUCUACCACCCUACUCAGAUCAUGCUCCAGAACAUCAAGAACUGGAGGGAAAAGCAUUUGUGUUCUGAUGUUUUAUGAGCAGUAACACCAUAAUCCACCCAGUGAGUAUCUACACCACGAGCUUUCACUACACUUAAUUUACAGUCUUUUAACUCACUUUGCAAGUUUGGCACACGCUAUUUUGUUUUUAAAGGCUCCUUUAAGUCUCAGGUUGCUGCUUCUGAAGCUGUGCUCUGCUUCCUGGGGAGGGACAGCCCCUCUGGAGCAGGACAGCUCUGCAGUGAGCAUGGCUCCCACUGGCCCUCUGAACAGGCAGGUUUCCAAUCAGAAACUGUUAAAAAGGUACAAUCUUAAGUUGCAACUGUUGGUAAAAAGGGUCGCUCAUGUUCCAGCUCUAACAUGGUUACAGCUAGGCUUUAAACAGGAGGGAAGGUGUUCAGGUGUGUGAUGGAAUAUGGGGGGUAAAAGGAAACAACUGUACAGUUCUUGUACACCCUUCUCCAAACCAAGAGGAAGUUCCCUCACAGACUCCUGCAGUGCCUGGUUUAGCUGUGUCCUUGCUCUUAUCAGCACUGCAGCCCUACCACUGUCUCCAGCCUCCUCUAACCAGACCAACCAGCCAGCACUGGCCCCCAAGACCAGCACAGGAGCAUGCACGGCAAUACACACACAUACAGAACACCAUUGGGCAACCACUGUGCUUGUUACGGUGCCUCCCCAAAAUGAUAAACUGAUUGGCAUGUGCCUGUCUGCCCCAUUGGGUUGCAGAGACCCAAUGCAACCCUGCAGCCACCCGCAGAAGGCUGACACUGCUGCACCUAUGGAAAGCCACAGCACCAAGCUGUGAAAUACACAGAGGAAAAGCCACACCAGGCCUGGACUGGUUGAAACAACCUAAACUGGUCAGUUCUGAUCCCUGUUGUUUGGGGCAGGGCUGCUAAGGAUGGGCACGGACACAAGGGCCAGGAAGGGAUGCUGAAAGGCAGUGACUAGCCACUUCCCUUGCGCUCCUGCUUUAGGAGCACUGUCAAACUCAACCAAAACCUCUUUUUCUGCAUAAGUCUUCAGGUGCAGUUCCUCACAUCCAGCUUGCUGAAGAGCUGUAAGGAUUUGGUAUAGUUUUGCUAUACAACACUUAAGGCUUCCUUAAACAACCACUGCUGCACAGAUACCAGUAAUGGUUACGAGUUAGCUUUUGGAAAGAAAGGGAACAGAAAAAGCUUUUGUUUCUGCAGCUCCUAAUAAAGGCCUGUAGGAUUUUUCUCCAAAGUUUACUCAACAAAUGGAACCAUCAGAAAACAGAAUGCAAAACAUCUGGUAUCAGAUCUAUGCAUCAGGACACAGCUGCUGUCACCUCACCUUUCAGCAAGUAGUGAAAAAGGUUAAAGAAAUUGUGGUAAUAGCCAAUUAAUAAAGAACCUGAGCCAUAUGCAGACAUUGUCAUUUUAAGAAGAUGAGAACCUCGCCAUCUAUUAGUCUUGUCAUUACUAAGGUAGGAAAACUGGCUCUUGGAUGUCAGGAUUAUGAAAGGAGUUAGUUACCAGAGUGAAUAUAAUGCUUUAAUUCUUGCAAUGAGUGACAAGCAAUUGAGCUUGUGUGUCUUUUGGACUGGUUUAAGGCAUUCCUUUUCAAAGCCACUGGUUCUGUUAAUAGCAAGAUAUACACUGCUAAAAAUAGGAUUUAAGCACUUAAAAUACAGUCAUGUACAUUAUA